rnacentral:rRNA from 1 species
UUAAGCGACUAAGCGUACACGGUGGAUGCCCUGGCAGUCAGAGGCGAUGAAGGACGUGCUAAUCUGCGAUAAGCGUCGGUGAGGUGAUAUGAACCGUUAUAACCGGCGAUUUCCGAAUGGGGAAACCCAGUGUGUUUCGACACACUAUCAUUAACUGAAUCCAUAGGUUAAUGAGGCGAACCGGGGGAACUGAAACAUCUAAGUACCCCGAGGAAAAGAAAUCAACCGAGAUUCCCCCAGUAGCGGCGAGCGAACGGGGAGGAGCCCAGAGCCUGAAUCAGUGUGUGUGUUAGUGGAAGCGUCUGGAAAGGCGUGCGAUACAGGGUGACAGCCCCGUACACAAAAAUGCACAUAUUGUGAGCUCGAUGAGUAGGGCGGGACACGUGGUAUCCUGUCUGAAUAUGGGGGGACCAUCCUCCAAGGCUAAAUACUCCUGACUGACCGAUAGUGAACCAGUACCGUGAGGGAAAGGCGAAAAGAACCCCGGCGAGGGGAGUGAAAAAGAACCUGAAACCGUGUACGUACAAGCAGUGGGAGCCUCUUAAUGGGGUGACUGCGUACCUUUUGUAUAAUGGGUCAGCGACUUAUAUUCUGUAGCAAGGUUAACCGAAUAGGGGAGCCGAAGGGAAACCGAGUCUUAACUGGGCGUUAAGUUGCAGGGUAUAGACCCGAAACCCGGUGAUCUAGCCAUGGGCAGGUUGAAGGUUGGGUAACACUAACUGGAGGACCGAACCGACUAAUGUUGAAAAAUUAGCGGAUGACUUGUGGCUGGGGGUGAAAGGCCAAUCAAACCGGGAGAUAGCUGGUUCUCCCCGAAAGCUAUUUAGGUAGCGCCUCGUGAAUUCAUCUCCGGGGGUAGAGCACUGUUUCGGCAAGGGGGUCAUCCCGACUUACCAACCCGAUGCAAACUGCGAAUACCGGAGAAUGUUAUCACGGGAGACACACGGCGGGUGCUAACGUCCGUCGUGAAGAGGGAAACAACCCAGACCGCCAGCUAAGGUCCCAAAGUCAUGGUUAAGUGGGAAACGAUGUGGGAAGGCCCAGACAGCCAGGAUGUUGGCUUAGAAGCAGCCAUCAUUUAAAGAAAGCGUAAUAGCUCACUGGUCGAGUCGGCCUGCGCGGAAGAUGUAACGGGGCUAAACCAUGCACCGAAGCUGCGGCAGCGACACUAUGUGUUGUUGGGUAGGGGAGCGUUCUGUAAGCCUGUGAAGGUGGCCUGUGAGGGUUGCUGGAGGUAUCAGAAGUGCGAAUGCUGACAUAAGUAACGAUAAAGCGGGUGAAAAGCCCGCUCGCCGGAAGACCAAGGGUUCCUGUCCAACGUUAAUCGGGGCAGGGUGAGUCGACCCCUAAGGCGAGGCCGAAAGGCGUAGUCGAUGGGAAACAGGUUAAUAUUCCUGUACUUGGUGUUACUGCGAAGGGGGGACGGAGAAGGCUAUGUUGGCCGGGCGACGGUUGUCCCGGUUUAAGCGUGUAGGCUGGUUUUCCAGGCAAAUCCGGAAAACCAAGGCUGAGGCGUGAUGACGAGGCACUACGGUGCUGAAGCGACAAAUGCCCUGCUUCCAGGAAAAGCCUCUAAGCAUCAGGUAACAUCAAAUCGUACCCCAAACCGACACAGGUGGUCAGGUAGAGAAUACCAAGGCGCUUGAGAGAACUCGGGUGAAGGAACUAGGCAAAAUGGUGCCGUAACUUCGGGAGAAGGCACGCUGAUAUGUAGGUGAAGCGACUUGCUCGUGGAGCUGAAAUCAGUCGAAGAUACCAGCUGGCUGCAACUGUUUAUUAAAAACACAGCACUGUGCAAACACGAAAGUGGACGUAUACGGUGUGACGCCUGCCCGGUGCCGGAAGGUUAAUUGAUGGGGUUAGCGGCAACGCGAAGCUCUUGAUCGAAGCCCCGGUAAACGGCGGCCGUAACUAUAACGGUCCUAAGGUAGCGAAAUUCCUUGUCGGGUAAGUUCCGACCUGCACGAAUGGCGUAAUGAUGGCCAGGCUGUCUCCACCCGAGACUCAGUGAAAUUGAACUCGCUGUGAAGAUGCAGUGUACCCGCGGCAAGACGGAAAGACCCCGUGAACCUUUACUAUAGCUUGACACUGAACAUUGAGCCUUGAUGUGUAGGAUAGGUGGGAGGCUUUGAAGUGUGGACGCCAGUCUGCAUGGAGCCGACCUUGAAAUACCACCCUUUAAUGUUUGAUGUUCUAACGUUGGCCCGUAAUCCGGGUUGCGGACAGUGUCUGGUGGGUAGUUUGACUGGGGCGGUCUCCUCCUAAAGAGUAACGGAGGAGCACGAAGGUUGGCUAAUCCUGGUCGGACAUCAGGAGGUUAGUGCAAUGGCAUAAGCCAGCUUAACUGCGAGCGUGACGGCGCGAGCAGGUGCGAAAGCAGGUCAUAGUGAUCCGGUGGUUCUGAAUGGAAGGGCCAUCGCUCAACGGAUAAAAGGUACUCCGGGGAUAACAGGCUGAUACCGCCCAAGAGUUCAUAUCGACGGCGGUGUUUGGCACCUCGAUGUCGGCUCAUCACAUCCUGGGGCUGAAGUAGGUCCCAAGGGUAUGGCUGUUCGCCAUUUAAAGUGGUACGCGAGCUGGGUUUAGAACGUCGUGAGACAGUUCGGUCCCUAUCUGCCGUGGGCGCUGGAGAACUGAGGGGGGCUGCUCCUAGUACGAGAGGACCGGAGUGGACGCAUCACUGGUGUUCGGGUUGUCAUGCCAAUGGCACUGCCCGGUAGCUAAAUGCGGAAGAGAUAAGUGCUGAAAGCAUCUAAGCACGAAACUUGCCCCGAGAUGAGUUCUCCCUGAGACUUAGAGUCUCCUGAAGGAACGUUGAAGACGACGACGUUGAUAGGCCGGGUGUGUAAGCGCAGCGAUGCGUUGAGCUAACCGGUACUAAUGAACCGUGAGGCUUAACCUU